UUUUAUCACUCAAAUGAAUACAAACAGUGGCUAACUGAAUUAAAAAAAGGGGAAAUAGAAAAUGGAUGACCAUAGUACUUUUGGCCCAGCCCACACCCCCACUUACCCCCUUCCUCUCGCUACAGUACAGGAGGCAGGGCGUGGCAGCCAUCCUUGGCGCCAUGGCCAUGGUGGAAGCCAUCCACCACCUCCCCGGUGACCUACAAGUACCCCCCCCCCCCCCUUGGUCGAACCCUAACCUCUCCUCCCUCCCCCUCGUGCCGUAGCUCUUACCCUCGCAGACGCUCGAGCCCUCGGCGCCAUGGUCUCCGACGUCCACGUGCCUACCGAGCUCCCCGCGCCCAGCCACCUCGUCCGCGAGCUUUGUCGACGUACACUCCUUCGACUACAUCCACCAAUUUGAACCGGGAGCCCCUGCAUCGACGGGAUCGACGCCUUCUUAUUCCUCGGGCACCACCGCCUCCGUCGUCGAUCCGCCGCCUCUGCUGCUCCAAAGCCAUCGCCGAGCCACCCUUGUGCUCCCCGACCCCGAGAAUGAUGCUGCCCCUGUGAUCGACUACGCUGACGAUGACACUUCUUUUUCAGCAGAGCUUCCAG